rnacentral:rRNA from 1 species
AUUGAACGCUGGCGGCAGGCCUAACACAUGCAAGUCGAACGGUAACAGGAAACAGCUUGCUGUUUCGCUGACGAGUGGCGGACGGGUGAGUAAUGUCUGGGAAACUGCCUGAUGGAGGGGGAUAACUACUGGAAACGGUAGCUAAUACCGCAUAACGUCGCAAGACCAAAGAGGGGAACCCUCGGGCCUCUUGCCAUCGGAUGUGCCCAGAUGGGAUUAGCUUGUUGGUGGGGUAACGGCUCACCAAGGCGACGAUCCCUAGCUGGUCUGAGAGGAUGACCAGCCACACUGGAACUGAGACACGGUCCAGACUCCUACGGGAGGCAGCAGUGGGGAAUAUUGCACAAUGGGCGCAAGCCUGAUGCAGCCAUGCCGCGUGUAUGAAGAAGGCCUUCGGGUUGUAAAGUACUUUCAGCGGGGAGGAAGGGAGUAAAGUUAAUACCUUUGCUCAUUGACGUUACCCGCAGAAGAAGCACCGGCUAACUCCGUG